rnacentral:rRNA from 1 species
UGGGGAAUAUUGCACAAUGGAGGGAACUCUGAUGCAGCGACGCCGCGUGAGUGAUGAAGGAAUUCGUUUCGUAAAACUCUGUUCUAUGGGAAGAAAAGGACUGUACCAUAGGAGAAAGCUCCGGCUAAAUACGUGCCAGCAGCCGCGGUAAUACGUAUGGAGCGAGCGUUGUCCGGAAGUAUUGGGCGUAAAGGGUGCGCAGGCGGCUUUACAAGUUUGAUGUGAAAUAUUGUGGCUCAACCACAAACGUGCAUCCAAAACUGCAAAGCUUGAGUUAAGGGGAGGUGAGUGGAAUUCCUGGUGUAGCGGUGGAAUGCGUAGAUAUCAGGAGGAAUACCGGUGGCGAAGGCGACUUUCUGGGCUUAAACUGACGCUCAGGGACGAAAGCGUGGGGAGCAAACAGG